GACGAACGCUGGCGGCGCGCCUAACACACGCAAGUCGAACGAGCGAGAGAGAGCUUGCUUUCUCGAGCGAGUGGCGAACGGGUGAGUAACGCGUGAGGAACCUGCCUCAAAGAGGGGGACAACAGUUGGAAACGACUGCUAAUACCGCAUAAGCCCACGGGUCGGCAUCGACCAGAGGGAAAAGGAGCAAUCCGCUUUGAGAUGGCCUCGCGUCCGAUUAGCUAGUUGGUGAGGUAAUGGCCCACCAAGGCGACGAUCGGUAGCCGGACUGAGAGGUUGAACGGCCACAUUGGGACUGAGACACGGCCCAGACUCCUACGGGAGGCAGCAGUGGGGAAUAUUGCACAAUGGGGGAAACCCUGAUGCAGCGACGCCGCGUGGAGGAAGAAGGUCUUCGGAUUGUAAACUCCUGUUGUUGGGGAAGAUAAUGACGGUACCCAACAAGGAAGUGACGGCUAACUACGUG
rnacentral:rRNA from 1 species